AAAUUUUUACUAAAAUAGAGAUAAAUAACAAACUUGAAUGAAUAAUUUCAAGCAUAUAAGAUCUGACCGAUUUGAAUUUGAGUUGUAAUGAAUUAAAGAGGAGUUUAGAGAGCAAAAAAUAAUAAAAAUAAAAGAUUUGGCUUAAUUUGAUUUGAUAAUUAACAAACAAUACGAGAUAUUCCUCGAACUUAUCCAAAUGGAUUGUUGUACAUAAAAAGGAAAAAAAAAAAAACAAAAGGUUUAUAGCAAAAGAUUUGUUAGUGAGUGUUAUUGUCGAGUACGGUAAAAAUAAUAAUCCGAUAAGGCGGGCGGAGAGUAAUGCGAUGGGAAACGGACCGAGCCGAGCCGGUAAAAUCGAAGCCACUAAAGCCUUAAUGACAUCGACAAGACCUCACGCGCUCAUCCCGGCGACCUUCCUCCUACACUCGCGGCUCAUGCGGCCGGCGCUCUCCCCCCACCGACGCGACCCCUUUACUCCCUAACUACACCCACUCUCUCUCUAUUCCCACCCACGCGGACAAACCCCCACCCCCCAAUUUCCAACCCCCAACCAAACACUUUCCGUUCCCGACGAUGGGUGACCUAACGGACCCCCAAAUGACGCCGUCCCAUGCCACCGCCACCACCCCCUCCUCCAACCCUCGCCCCAUGCCCGUCCGCGAAGACUGCUGGAGCGAAGACGCUACCUCCACUCUCGUCGACGCCUGGGGCCGCCGUUACCUCGAGCUCAACCGCGGGUGCCUCCGUCAGAAGGACUGGCAGGAGGUCGCUGACGCCGUCAACGCCCUUCACGGCCACACCAAGAAGACCCACCGCACCGACGUCCAGUGCAAGAACCGCAUCGACACCAUCAAGAAGAAGUACAAGUUCGAGAUGAAUAGGGUUUCGUCCUCCAACGGAACCCUAACCUCUUCUUGGCCUUUCUUCGAGAGGCUCGACGCUCUCAUCGGAUCUAACUACAAGAAGCCGUCUCCUUCGCCCCCGGUCGCUGUUCCGUUGCCUUUGGGGUAUCGGAAGACUCCGUCUCCGGCGACCGUUGUGACGGCCGUGGGGCUGCCGCAGAAGCGGUCUGCGUCGUCUGCGGCGGUCGACGAGGGUUUCUUCAGGAUGAAUUACUCGGCUGUGGCUGCGGCGGCAGCGGCAGAGGCUGAGGAUGAUGACGACGAGGACGAGGAUGAGGACGACGAGGUGAACUACGAGGUUGAUGAGGAGGUUGAGAUGGAGAGGGAGAGAGAUAGCGGAGGCGAGAUUGGAGGUGGAGGAGGAGGAGAAGGGUUGAAGAGAUUGGCGAGAGCGAUUGAGAGGUUCGGGGAGGUGUAUCAGAGAGUGGAGGCCGAAAAGUUGAGGCAGAUGGUGGACUUGGAGAAGCAGAGGAUGCAAUUCGCCAAUGAUUUGGAGGUGCAGAGGAUGAAUAUGUUCAUGGACACGCAGGUCCAGCUCGAGCGGAUCAAGCACGGCAAGCGAUCUGGCUCUAAUGCUUUUGUGCAUGGAUGUGAACGUUUGUAAAGUUGAGCUCUGAGAGUUUUAUAUAGAGUUCUAUCAAUUCGUAGAACAGAAGAACAGAAACAUAUCCUGGUUGGUAACAUUAACAGUGGAGUGAUAUGUUUUCCACGAGGGUAGCUGGGCUUAUUGAUAGCAAAAGAUGAAGAUUCCCAUUAAAGUUCUGAAUAUUUAUAUGCGGGGAGAGCUUUAAUGGUAGACUUCCAUGGGAAGCAUAAUGUAGUAUCUUCUUGAUUAUCCUACAAAGUACAUAUUGUUGCAGCUGAUACUGGACCUAGAGAAACUACUGGCACAACAGUCCCAAGUUUUCUUUUUCCUUUCUUUUCUUUUUUCAUCUUGGUUUUUUCUUUCUAAAUUAUUAUUAUUUUGGGAACAAGUUUAAUCGGCUUGGCAGUUGUACUCGGCUUAGAUUGGUCCAAUGAAUUUGGUUUUGGCUGUAUUAGCUUUUUAGUUUGAACGCCACAAAUCUAAUUUUUUCUUGCAAUACAUAAAAGUAGGUAACUUCUCUCUUUGUACUUUGGUAGA